rnacentral:misc_RNA from 1 species
GUUUGGAAGAGUGGAGGCCAUGAAGCGGCCAAUUGGGAGAACACCGAUCUGCAUAAGAAUGGCAGAGAUGGCAAGCGGUUGAGAGCGGUAAGUGAAGAAAGUGUUGAGGAAAAUGAGAAGGCAACAAGAAGCCAGCCCCAGAACCCAUGAUCGGAAAGUCAUCACCGGAAGAGAUGGGUCAUCGGUCUCUGGCACCACCAGAGCCACCUCCUCCACUGGGCACCGGUCCUCAGACGGUGGUUCGCCGCCGCCAUUGGACUUAUCAGCGGUGGAGGAAUCUGGGUUGGGCGGGGUUUUCGAGGACAUUGAAAGAGCGUUAAUGGGGAAAAAGAGAAACAGAACAGAGGAGGCUGUGUGUGUUUUGUGUAUGGAUUCGAAUGGUCGAGCCGGC